rnacentral:rRNA from 1 species
CCUACGGGUGGCUGCAGUGGGGAAUAUUGCACAAUGGGGGAAACCCUGAUGCAGCGACGCCGCGUGAGCGAGGAAGUAUUUCGGUAUGUAAAGCUCUAUCAGCAGGGACGAAAAAAGACGGUACCUGACUAAGAAGCCCCGGCUAACUACGUGCCAGCAGCCGCGGUAAUACGUAGGGGGCAAGCGUUAUCCGGAUUUACUGGGUGUAAAGGGAGCGUAGACGGCGAUGCAAGUCUGAAGUGAAAGGCGGGGGCCCAACCCCUGGACUGCUUUGGAAACUGUAUGGCUGGAGUGCAGGAGAGGUAAGUGGAAUUCCGAGUGGAGCGGUGAAAUGCGUAGAUAUUAGGAGGAACACCAGUGGCGAAGGCGGCUUACUGGACUGUAACUGACGUUGAGGCUCGAAAGCGUGGGGAGCAAACAGGAUUAGAUACCCCAGUAGUC